UGCAGUCGAACGGUUACAGCAAUGUGACGAGUGGCGCACGGGUGAGUAACGCGUACAUAACAUACCUUUAACUGGCGAAUAGCCUUGGGAAACUGAGAGUAAUACGCCAUAACAUUGUAGCUUGGCAUCAGGCAGCAAUUAAAGUUCCGGCGGUUAGAGAUUGAUGUGCGUUGGAUUAGAUAGUUGGUGAGGUAACGGCUCACCAAGUCAACGAUCCAUAGGGGGCGUGAGAGCGUGGUCCCCCACACGGGUACUGAGACACGGACCCGACUCCUACGGGAGGCAGCAGUAAGGAAUAUUGGUCAAUGGGGGCAACCCUGAACCAGCCAUGCCGCGUGCGGGAUGAAGGCGUUCUGCGUCGUAAACCGCUUUUAGAGGGGAAUAAAUCCCGAUACGUGUAUCGGACUGAAGGUACCCUCGGAAUAAGCACCGGCUAACUCCGUGCCAGCAGCCGCGGUAAUACGGAGGGUGCAAGCGUUAUCCGGAAUCACUGGGUUUAAAGGGUGCGUAGGCGGUUUUGUAAGUCGGUAUUGAAAGUUUGCAGCUCAACUGUGAAUUUGGUAACGAUACUGCAAGACUUGAAUCAGGUUGAAGUUGGCAGAAUGUGACAUGUAGCGGUGAAAUGCUUAGAGAUGUCAUAGAACACCGAUUGCGAAGGCAGCUGACCGGACCUUGAUUGACGCUGAGGCACGAAAGCGUGGGGAUCGAACAGGAUUAGAUACCCUGGUAGUCCACGCCCUAAACGAUGUUUACUCGUUGUUUGGACUUCGGUUCGAGCGACU
rnacentral:rRNA from 1 species